rnacentral:lncRNA from 1 species
ACUACUACCGAUCCUUUCAUUAUUUGAUACUCAAACGUAACGUAUACAAUAGAGAGAGAUCCAAAAUGGGAAAAAGUUACAAUACAUACACGAACACUAGCUACUAGCAAAUUUUAUAUGUUGUGUUUUCAAUUUUGUGAGAUGUCUCAUCUCCAAAAGAAAUGCUGGACAGAAUCUUGCCAGGAAAGCACAAGCAUGAGCAUGACCAAAAUCCCAGCGAGUCCCCAUGACGAAGCCCCAAUUCUGAGCACCCAAGAAGGAUCGGGAGAUGGAAAAACUGAUCCUCUCUCCAUUGAAGAAGAAGAAGUAGUAGUUUUGAUGGCAAUUAUAAGGACAGCUAGAACCAUGGGAAGAACAAAGCUAGAGUUCCAAUAUUUUGUCUCAUUAUGAAAUAUUGUAUGGUGGUGAUAACGAUGAUCGUUUUUUAUUGUCACAUAGAGUGGCGACAAAACUAUAGCUGAUACCAAAGCCAACCCCAUGGCGACUGCUCUUUGUGAUGAUGAGUUUUGGCCUGCGUAGUUGUAUGCAUUAGCAGCCAUUGAAAGAAGUGAAUUAAUUAAAUUAACUCUCUCAAUCCUGCAGGACUACUAUAUAUAAGAAAACCAACUUGGUGAUGUGGAGAAAAUUGAUGGGGAGUUUUAUAGGAGGAAGAAGAGAGAACAAGUGAAGGAAUCUAGUUGUAAAGCUUGUGAUUUGAUGACAAAAGUGAUGGAGUCAUCAUAGACAUAGCCGUCCAAAAAGUGAAAAAAGGAGAUGAGUUAUUUGGAGAAAAAGGCAAGAGAAAGGUGAGAAAGCAUAGGUAAAUGAAGAAAAAGGAUUGGAAUUCUUUGGAAGUAAGGUAUCUUUAAUUUGGUGUGUUCAUACAUGUCUACAAGGCACUGCUAGCUGGAAUCACUUUUGUGAGAUACAUACAUACAUACAUACAUACAUACAUAUACUGCCUCAUUGCGUGGCCUGUGUCUUAUUGUGCUUGGAAGUAUAUGUUUAUAAAUGCAUGUUGGUUUGUUCGCAAAACAAAUGUAUAUUAGUGUAUUAUUAUUAUUAUUAUUAUUAUCCGUAUGAUAUACACAAGAAAGUAAGUGAAAAAUACGCAUUAUAGCUUAUAUCCGUUUAAGUUUUGGUAUGCAUAUUUAUAUAUACAUAUACUUACGCCUAAUACAUGAGAGCUCAUUUAUACAAUUCGUGUACUGUAUUAUCACAAAGAGAGUCUUCCAUGCUCCUUGGAGCACCAUAUAAGUCACUAACAAAAGGAGUUUCAUUUUUCCAUUCUUUCUUCACCAAUGGUUUCUCUCUCAUUCCAACUUAAAUUGUCACCAAAAUCAUGUGCUGGCAGCAAGAAAAAUAAUUUCAUUUUUUUUUUUUGGCAGAGGGAGAAAUGAAACAUUUGGGUUCCCUUAUAAAUUGUUUCUACUACUUGAGUGAGUCUCUCAUAUUAUGUUUAAUAUCUCAUUUAAUACUUAAUCUUUUGUUAAUUAUUUGUCUAACAUUUUUUUCUUUUUUUUAACAAACUUGAUCUCACUCUCUCUAAAAUCAAAUAUACUUUCCGAGAAUAUACAACUAACUAUACCUACCUUAAAAGCUCAUGACCUAAUCUCUUUUUGAGUAAAUUUUAUUAACGUGAUUAAUAGUUAAUAAAUUAAAAAGUAAAAAUAAUUACAUUUUAUUAUAUAUUAACAUUAAAAUACAUGUGUCACAAAAUUUAUAAAAAAUCAGGAGAGUUUAAAUUAGGAGAGAAUCCUAAUUUAAAAAAUAAAAAAAAACAUGUCACGGUUGUAAUAAUGAUUAAUUGACUAUUAAUUGAUCAGCUUAUUUUGCUGACCCCUCUUGACAUUUUAAUGGAUAUUAAAUUGUUAAUUUGUUAUUAUUUUGUUUUUGGCAGUUUCUAAAGACGUACAGGAACCUGCAUAAUGCAUAAGGAUGGCAAUGGGGAGGGGAGGGGAGGGGACCAAUCUCCCCGAUAUUUUGCAUAUGUCCCCGUCCCCUCCCCAUCCCCGUCAAAAUUAUUUAAGAGAAUCCUCAUCCCCUCCCCGAAUAAUAACAGGGGAUCCCUGAGGGUCCCCGAUCCCCGAAUAACUAAUACAUUUUUUUUAUUUUCGAUUUUGAGUUAAUCAUAUUAAAAUAAAAAAUACAAACAUCAAUCGAGAGACUCACCCUUCUGGUGUAAAGUGUAAACAAUCGUGACAAUCCACACCGUCGUCGGCUCCCCUCUCUUUGCUCUCUCUCGUCUCUUGCCCGCCAGGUUUAGGCUCCAUUUGGUACAGCUUAUUAAAUAGAGCUUAUAACAAUAGAGCUUAUAGCAGUAGAGUUUAUACCAAUAAAAUUUUUGGAUAAAAAGUCAUUGGGUAUUUAAUUGUUAAUAAAAAAAAUAUUUUUAAAUCAUUAAACUGUAUGAUAUUUUUUUUAUUAUAUAUUUUUUAGAUAAGCUCUUUAACUUUUACUUCCAAAAGUUCAAAUUUUGAGCUUUUACUAGUAGAGGUAAAUUAGUUUAUUUAAGCUAAAAAAACUCUACUAAAAAAAUAACCAAACAUCAUAAAAUUUUUUAAAAAGUACUUAUGCGAUUAAAUAAGCACUUAUGACUCUUAAAUAAGCCAUACCAAACAGUCACUUAAUAUAUUUUGUCUAUCUUUUUUUACUAUUUCACGAGGGGAAGAGAGGGCUGGAAUGUUUGGGCCGUAACGACCAAUGGGCCUUUGGCCCAAUAACGUAAUUCGUGAAAACCAGUUGAAAAAUAUAAUGAAAUAGAGGAGAAAAUAAUAAUUGAAUUACUACUACCGAUCCUUUCAUUAUUUGAUACUCAAACGUAACGUAUACAAUAGAGAGAGAUCCAAAAUGGGAAAAAGUUACAAUACAUACACGAACACUAGCUACUAGCAAAUUUUAUAUGUUGUGUUUUCAAUUUUGUGAGAUGUCUCAUCUCCAAAAGAAAUGCUGGACAGAAUCUUGCCAGGAAAGCACAAGCAUGAGCAUGACCAAAAUCCCAGCGAGUCCCCAUGACGAAGCCCCAAUUCUGAGCACCCAAGAAGGAUCGGGAGAUGGAAAAACUGAUCCUCUCUCCAUUGAAGAAGAAGAAGUAGUAGUUUUGAUGGCAAUUAUAAGGACAGCUAGAACCAUGGGAAGAACAAAGCUAGAGUUCCAAUAUUUUGUCUCAUUAUGAAAUAUUGUAUGGUGGUGAUAACGAUGAUCGUUUUUUAUUGUCACAUAGAGUGGCGACAAAACUAUAGCUGAUACCAAAGCCAACCCCAUGGCGACUGCUCUUUGUGAUGAUGAGUUUUGGCCUGCGUAGUUGUAUGCAUUAGCAGCCAUUGAAAGAAGUGAAUUAAUUAAAUUAACUCUCUCAAUCCUGCAGGACUACUAUAUAUAAGAAAACCAACUUGGUGAUGUGGAGAAAAUUGAUGGGGAGUUUUAUAGGAGGAAGAAGAGAGAACAAGUGAAGGAAUCUAGUUGUAAAGCUUGUGAUUUGAUGACAAAAGUGAUGGAGUCAUCAUAGACAUAGCCGUCCAAAAAGUGAAAAAAGGAGAUGAGUUAUUUGGAGAAAAAGGCAAGAGAAAGGUGAGAAAGCAUAGGUAAAUGAAGAAAAAGGAUUGGAAUUCUUUGGAAGUAAGGUAUCUUUAAUUUGGUGUGUUCAUACAUGUCUACAAGGCACUGCUA